AUGGUCCGUUUUGUGUCCGUGCCGACCCAUUUCGAGCGCAAACAUGCGCUGGGUUUGGGUUGCGGCGGACACCAAACGAACGCGUCGCUCGUCCGCGCUGGGGCCGCGUGGCAGGCGGCCACCUACCUCCCAUCGCCCGACAUCAAUGUGCACGGGCGGCCGGUCCCGCCUGUCAUCCGCCCAGGCGAACGGUCGCGAUCCUUAAAUGGGAAAGCCGUGGACCGGUCGUCGUCCACACUGCCCCACUCCACCCCGCGGCCUCCUCAAAACCCGACAACCCCGAACCCACAAACCCUAGCCUCGAACUCGCCGGCCGACCGCCUCGUAGCCAUGGGCCUAUGGAACUACGGCCGCAAGGGGAAGCAUGACCGCGAGGCCGGCACCUCGUCGGGGCGCCGCCACGGCAAUGUGAAGGAGGAGCCUGCAUCACCAUCGCGUCAGGCCCCCGCGCCGCCCGCGUUCUCCAUCGCCCCCACGGCCGCCGGCGAGCACGACCGUCACUACAUCGAGGCGGCCGUAUGCCACCGCUAUUGGGAGACGAGGACGCCACUCCCCUGGAGCGACGUCCACCUCCCAAACAACUGGCAUUUGUCGGCCGACCGCGUGCCGAUCCCGCCGGUCCUGUUGAGCGGCCGUGCACGCCGCCAGGAGAUCGAGCGCCGCCGCCGCCUCCUCCCGGACGACCUAUACUACGACGAAAGGUACGCCCCGACUCGCCCAUGUGGGACACCUGGUUCCAGGACGAGCACAACACGCGGCGGGCGUCCUUCUUCGCUGCCACGUCCACGGGCCGCGGCGGCCACGUCCAGAGCGCCGAACGGCUGCUCCCCAGGUGCGCGGGCGUAUGCGGGUGCGCGGCCUCAGGCCCACGCCUUCGCCAUCCCUGUCUCCGUCGCCACCACCACCUCCUCGCAUGACAGCGGAGGAGGAGACCCGUCUCAUGGCGUGUGUCAUGGAGGACUCCAUGCGCACGCACGACGAGCGCCAAUGGGAGGGCCUCGAGGAGGUGACGGCCCUCUCCGCGGCCGGCGACGUCGCCCUCCCCGAGCUGGAGAUGGUGGCGAAGGAGGAGGUGAUGGAGGAGCCGCCGAUGGCCGCGUUCCAUCCGGGGCUGGUGGGCCAGCACUGGAGCUGGUCGUGCACGGCUCCGGAGAUGGCGGACGCCGUGGGGGGCGUGAAUUGGUGCCCCACACCGCCGUGGUCAUCGGAGCGGGACGCCUCGCCACGGGAGGAGGUGGUGCAGGCACCUGCCACCUUCCAGCCUGCUGCACCCGUGCACCACGGUCCCCGGCCCACCUCUGGACGUUGCCGGACUACGUCGACCUCGUCAGCGACGACGACGACAUCUGCGGCCACUGA
rnacentral:rRNA from 1 species